UCUUCCGUAGUAUAGUGGUCAGUAUAUGAGCUUGUCAGCUUCACAGAUGAUUUCGCUCAGGACCCGGGUUCAAUUCCCGGCGGGAGAG